UGCACACCCUGCAGGAGCUGGGAGGGAGACGUGGAAGUGCUCAUCAGAGCUCCCCAGGGCCUGCCCCACAGUGAGGCCUCAGCACUGCAGCUUGAUGUUCACCUUUACCAUCUCUUUUAAUCUGUUGAGCUUCUGGAGACAUUUCUUUGCCAAACCAAGAUUGGAAACCAUUGAGCUCACCUGUGCGCUUUGCAAACUUUGAAGUGCAGCGCACAGGGCAACAGCUGGGCUGCAUUGUAUUCUCGGGCUCUUAUGCGUGGGCCAACUUCACCAUCCUGGCCUUGGGCGUGUGGGCUGUAGCUCAGCGGGACUCCAUCGACGCCAUAAGCAUGUUUCUGGGUGGCUUGCUGGCCACCAUCUUCCUGGACAUCGUGCACAUCAGCAUCUUCUACCCGCGGGCCGGCCUCACGGACACGGGCCGCUUUGGCGCGGGCAUGGCCAUCCUCAGCUUGCUGCUCAAGCCGCUCUCCUGCUGCUUUGUCUACCACAUGUACCGGCAGCGCGGGGGUUUCCUUGGGUCUUCUCAGGACCGUAGUGCCUACCAGACGAUUGACUCAGCAGAGGCGCCCGCCAAUGCUUUUGCAGUCCCAGAGGGCAGGGGUCAAGAUGCCCGAGGGUACUGAAGCCAGCCACGCUGCGCCUGGCCCUGCCCCGGGCCUUCCUCGUGCCUGGGAGGUCGUUCUAGGGAUGCUCCUGACCUCCGUCUCUUGGACCUAAGAUGGAAUGUGUCCCCAGCUCAGGGAUUGCCUGAACCAAGAGGCCAGGAGCCCCCAUGGGCCGCCCAGUGCCCUGCACACUCGUGUCCCGAACUCCCUGAGGCCUCCCCUCCCUUCAGGGCACCCACUGGUUCCCAGGCUGGAACCACGGUCUCUCUUUACCUCGUACCCCAUCGUGGCACCACAGAGGCCCUCAGCCGAGU
rnacentral:sRNA from 1 species